CAACAAUAAAGAUGAUUGCCCACGGUUUUCUUCUCUCCCACAGCCUUGUGUAUGACCCUGGCACUUCUCCAGAGUGACCCUAUAUGGCAUGCUGUGUUCCUCCCUGGGAACUUCUGCAGAUACCCUUCACCUGAUUUAUGUUCAUUCAAAGAAGAAUCUUAGCAGUAAAAAGAUCUCCUAUUGAAGAAGAAUGUUCAAGAACUGAUUGCUUACACCUCACUUCUUCUGGGAAGACCUACCGGAGAGGUGGAGGCAGAAUGGACCAGCACGCCCUCUUGUGAGGGUGAUCCCCCAAUCCUUCCUGCUUCCCCCGGGGCAUUUGCUACUUUGCAGUACUACUACAAACUCAAGGUGAGUGCUACUCCCACUCAACCUUACCUCUGUGAGCCCCCUUGCUCAUUCACUUCAGCUACAGGAGCCUCCUUGUUAUUCCUGGACCAUGGGGUGCAUUCCCACCUCACCAGACAGUCCGUGAGUCCAAUAUACUUUCUCCUCCAGACAUCCAUGUGACUCGGUACCUCAAGUCUUUAUGUGAAUGUCACCUCUUAAAAGCCUUCCCUGACCACCCCUCAUUCUACCAUAAAAAGUGGCAGCCUCCACUAUUCUCUAUCCCCUUGCCCUGCUUCAUCUCGUCACGCAUUUAGAACCACGUGAUACAUAAUCUAUUACCUGUUCAAGGACUUCCCCAACUAAGACAUCACUUCCACAAAGAAAGGAGAGACUUUGUUCUGUUCACUGUUGUGUCUCCAGAACAUGGUGUGGCACACAUUAGGUACUCAGUAUUAACUCAAUGACUGAAUUCUAAGUGUUUUUUUUUUUU